rnacentral:rRNA from 1 species
UACGUAGGCAGCAAGCGUUGUUCGGAGUUACUGGGCGUAAAGGGUGCGUAGGUGGCUCUAUAAGUCUGGUGUGAAAUCUCCCGGCUUAACUGGGAGGGUGCGCCGUAGACUGUGGGGCUAGAGUGUGGGAGAGGAAAGUGGAAUUCCUGGUGUAGCGGUGAAAUGCGUAGAUAUCAGGAGGAACACCGGUGGUGUAAACGGCUUUCUGGACCAUAACUGACACUGAGGCACGAAAGCGUGGGUAGCAAACAGG